rnacentral:rRNA from 1 species
ACGUAGGGGGCUAGCGUUGUCCGGAUUUACUGGGUGUAAAGGGCGCGUAGGUGGACUUGUCAGUCAGAGGUGAAACCCUGCAGCUUAACUGCAGAACUGCCUUUGAUACUGCAAGCCUUGAGUCUAGAAGAGAAAAGCGGAAUUCCAGGUGUAGUGGUGAAAUACGUAGAUAUCUGGAAGAACACCAGUUGCGAAGGCGGCUUUUUGGUCUAGAACUGACACUGAGGCGCGAAAGCGUGGGUAGCAAACAGGAUUAGAUACCCUGGUAGUCCACGCUGUAAACUAUGAAUACUAGAUGUUGGGCUUUAUGCCCAGCGUCGAAGCUAACGCAUUAAGUAUUCCACCUGGGGAGUACGAUCGCAAGGUUG